rnacentral:rRNA from 1 species
UACGAAGGGGGCUAGCGUUGCUCGGAAUGACUGGGCGUAAAGGGCGCGUAGGCGGUUCGUACAGUUGGAUGUGAAAUUCCCGGGCUCAACCUGGGGGCUGCAUUCAAUACGUGCGGGCUUGAGUUCGGAAGAGGGUCGUGGAAUUCCCAGUGUAGAGGUGAAAUUCGUAGAUAUUGGGAAGAACACCGGUGGCGAAGGCGGCGACCUGGUCCGAUACUGACGCUGAGGCGCGAAAAGCGUGGGGGAGCAAACAGG